UAAUGUUGAUGCCCCAACAUGCUAUGAAGAAACCAUCACUGAUGGAUCAAAUCUCCACAUAUCAAGGUAAUCAAGGCACAGCGGAGACAGCCUUCUGAGCUAAUCUGGGUCAGGAUACAGGGAGAAAUCAGUAGACAAUUAUGGGGUGUGAUCUGAAUAACAAGGUGGAUUGAAGAGCCGUGAGCAGAAGGUAUUAUCAGAGAAUGGAACCAGUAGUUCGAACACUGGAAAUCUGAGGAAUCCUGCUAGAGCUGAACCAGAAAAGUGAGAGGAAGGUAUUUGCCUUGUGGAGUUCAAGAAAAUUAACAUUUGUGGGUGGGGCUGAGCUUUGCAGUUCUGGUGAACGUGGGUGUGUCUUUCCUGAGAAAUGAUAGAAGUUCAUUACUGUCUAUGAUGCUUCUGUUACUGAGGCCAUCCCUCAACACUUGGUUCCUGGGUUACUCCUAUCUGCCUCCCUGGCUCUAGCCUUUCCUCACUCCCCAGGCACCUUUACGCGAGGUAAAUAUGAUUAUGCCAAUCAACCUCUGGCUUGUGACCAAUUUGCCUAUGGUGUGAUGUCCAAAUUUCCAGCAAUGUUUUCAGGAAACUUUAAAUCUUAUCUUCUGCUUGUCUUCUCAGCCACUCCUAUUCAUUGUUCCUAAUUCCUGUUUUACACAUAAUAUUUUAUGCUCUUUGCCCUGUAAUGCAUUGUCUUUUUUGCUUGUGCCUUUGUGAAUGAUUUUCUCCUUGCCUGGAAAUUGUUACCCUUCCCAUUCCUGAACUAGAUUCUUAGAUUUCUCCUCUAAGAAAGAGUAUGGAAACCACUUCCUCCAGGCAUCUUUUCUGACAUUCUCUAUUCUCUUUAUUCCAGGUUAGAUAAAGUACUGGUAUCUAGCAUUGGCAAAAACACUCUCCGCUACCGUCUACAACAGCCCUUAUCCUACUACAUUUUAAUCACUAAGGUGAUUGUAAUCAUUUUAAUCACUACAUGUUGCUUUAACACUCACUAGACCACGAUUCUUGAAUGCAGUUUUAUAUUCUCAGAACAUAUCACUGGACUCAGCCUGGGGUGGCCUCAGGAAAGUUUGUGCAGUGACCAGUACAUGUAUCUACCCAGCAUCUGUGAAGACCAUUGGUUGGAGCUGGGGCCCAAGCCAAACCUUCCUGCUCUGAGUUUCCUAUCUGGUCAAAUUGUGAUUCCCUAGCUGCCUCCCAGCUGGCACCCACACCUUUGAGAAAGCAAUUUGUCAGUAUGCGUGUGGAAAAAGGCUAUGUGUCCAAAGAUGUUCAUUGCAGCAUUGCCUGUGAUAGAAACACAGAAGAAACAAUCAAAUUACAAUGAAUAAGUAAAUUAUAGCAUGUCAGCGUGCUGGAAUUUAUGCAGCCUUAAAAACCAUGAUUAUGAAGACAGCAGAACGGCCUGAAAGAGGAAAGACUCAGCACUUUGUGUGCACCCUACAAAGAGCAAAACCCAACUCCAUUAAAAGAUUCUUUGUCUGUUAAUUUAUUUAUUAAUUCAACAAACACUUACUGAGUACUUACAAUGUGCAAGGCCCUGCUUGUUAGCAGGAAGUCUAGAUUUUAAUAAAGAUCAUAAGGGAAAAUAACAACAUUUGAUGUAAAGCUGUCCUCAUUUACCAUUUUCCCUCCCUCUCCCCCUCCCUGCUAAGUCCCUCUUUUAAAUGCUCUUGAAACUUCUUCCUACUUUGCCAGUCUAACAUCACCUUUCUUCCCUUCCAUCAUUCCCCAUCUUUAGUUCCCUUUAUAUGUUGAGUGAGUAAUUUAUCUGUCAUUCUCCUAGUUUUUCCAGUCUUGCAUCCUCAUACCCAUUAUUGCCCCUGAGCAAACACUGGGGUCUUUUAGUAUUUAUUUUCCUUAGAAGACAGUGGAGCGAUUGUAAAUAACAAUUUCAUAGGUAAGUAACAUAACAUAAGUUAUGUUUCCCUGCCAUGGUACUCGUUUAAUCAGUCAGAGGUGCACUGGGGGUAGGACACCUAAUUGGAGAGGCUGGCCACCCUGGAUGCUGGUCCACUCCAAGUUCAAGGUGGUUCAUUGGACAUGACAACCCCCCUGCCCCUCUGGGGACAGGUAAGCCACUCCUUGUGAGUUUUCAGGAGGGUUUGAAUGAUGUUUAUAAGGGGUCUUAUGGACCAUCUCAUGGCUAAAGAGCAAUCUUGCUAUGGCUAUUCUCUCCCUUUCAGAGCUGGGAGGAAGUUGCUGGAAGGAAGAGAGAGAGCGCCAGUUGGCCUAGUUCUAGGUACAGCCCAAUGGUCCUGACUGUGGCCCAUUUUUGGAAUUAAUUACGAAGAUUUCUCUUCCCUUAUCACAUGGAAGAUAAAAUUUGUGUAACUUGAGCUUUUGGUAUAAUGAUCCUGGAAGAUUGAUGAAAAAUAUUUAAGGCAGCAUUUCUCAACCUUGGCACCAGGAACAUUUCAGGGAAGACUGUGCAUGAAAGGCAGAGAUACAACUUACAGCACUGCCUCGUGGCCUCUGUGACUGAAUCAGAUGUUGAAUCACUGCGGAAAUACCCCAGGUAUGUUAUAGUUUGAACGAAGCCACUCACGUAUCCAUCUAAUUUCCGGAAGAUCUUGAUUGUGAAGGACUGUUUGUAGAUCCCAUCAGAGGAGCCCAGAGGCCUGCCCUGCAAGCCCAAGAUUUGGAGGUUGGAGGCUGUCCUCUGAGGAACUUCUGAGGCCAAGAGGGCCCAGCAGAGUGGUUCCCACAAAGAAGUGUGGUAAGAAGAAGGGCCCUUCUGCAAUCAAUGAAGUAGUGACCAGAGAAUCCACCAUCAAUAUUCCCAAGCACAUCCAUGAAGUGAGUUUCAAGAAGUGUGCCCCUUAGGCACAAAGAGAUCUGGAAAUUUGCCAUAAAGGAGAUGGGAACUCCAGAUGUGUGCAUUCACACCAGGCUCAACAAAACUAUCUGAGCCAAAGAAAUAAAGAAUAUUCCAUACCA